AGCUCCAAUAGCGUAUAUUAAAGUUGUUGCAGUUAAAAAGCUCGUAGUUGAACUUCAGACCUGGCCGGGCGGUCUGCCUCACGGUAUGUACUGUCUGGCUGGGUCUUACCUCUUGGUGAGCCGGCAUGCCCUUUACUGGGUGUGUCGGGGAACCAGGACUUUUACCUUGAGAAAAUUAGAGUGUUCAAAGCAGGCCUAUGCCCGAAUACAUUAGCAUGGAAUAAUAAAAUAGGACGUGCGGUUCUAUUUUGUUGGUUUCUAGAGUCGCCGUAAUGAUUAAUAGGGAUAGUUGGGGGCAUUAGUAUUCAGUUGCUAGAGGUGAAAUUCUUGGAUUUACUGAAGACUAACUACUGCGAAAGCAUUUGCCAAGGAUGUUU
rnacentral:rRNA from 1 species